rnacentral:lncRNA from 1 species
GCACAGAGAGGCCCGGCACACAUACUGGAAGACAGCAUUGGUCCAACAACUGGUCAGUGACAGAGGAGAGGGAGCAACAUUAAAGCAUAUGAAAUAAAUGCGAGCAGCAGCAACGAAUGAAGAAGUAACCGUGUCCCAGGCAGCUGCUGACACGCACAGGAGCGCAGGCUGCUGGAGAUUUUCACUGCCAGGGAUCUGGCAGCAAUCACACUAAAUGUUGUGAGCUGUUGACAGCUGAAGAUGAGCAGCUUAGGCAGAAGGAGAAAUCCUCUGGACUUACAACUGACAAUAGGGGAAGCCCAAAUCUGUCUCUGUUGGAUAUCGUGUAAUGUCCAAGCAGGACCCGAGUCUGAUAUUUGGAUAUGCAGUGGGAUAUGUAGGGGGAAGUAUGAAGUGAAAGGAGGAUUGGAGAGAAGCUAAAGACAAAUGAGAGUCUCUUCACAGCAAUGCAAUCAUAUUCAACAGUGGGCCUAAAUAGAAGAGCCAAGCACCAGGUCUUUCAAGAUAGCAUCCUAAAUGAAACUUGAGAUACCAUUCCAUGAAAGGCUUCAAGAUCUUUGGGAUAAACAGUAUUCUUUAGGCUAUAAAUACUUAUUUUCCUAUAUGAAAAACUACAUGCAUUGUUUGCCCUGUCAGAAAUGUUUUUGUGGCAACUCCUGGACUGCCUUUCCUAAUGGUGUAGAAAAAUAAAAAUAAAAAAUAAAAAUAAAAAAUGGUUUAUCUGGUUUAAAUUGCAAUCUGUCUCUCACCUCAAGUAGUCAAAAAUGUUUUCUCCACCCUACACAGGUCUGCAGCAGAAUUUGAAUGUGAACUGCACCAUAGUUUUCAGCCUUAAGACCUAAGGUGCAGGCCAGGAUAUUUGGAUUUACACCUGACUUCUGCAUGAGAAGCUCACUGCCUAAACCAAGGAUGGGGGAACCAGUCUCCUGGGGCUCUGCAGAAUGGAGGUGAAUGGUCCUACCUGCAUCCCAUACAUCUCUGUGCCCUAGGGGAGACAAGACCAGGGCAGGUGGACACAGGACUGAGUAAUUCACAUUCACCACAGAAAGGUGAUCUGGCUGAAACUGAUGGGUCAGUGUCAGUUACAGAGCACCUGAAACUCAGUACAGGGAGCUGUCCUUUCUCUGGCAGCCGUGCUUGCAGUCAGCACAUGAUCCACUUCGUAGCCAGCUCCUGCCCAGCACCUACCAGUGAUCUGGUGUUUGUCUCAGCUGGUUCUGCUGUGCGAGAAGACAGAGUGGGAUGUCACAGACUGGCUCAUUCCAUCUGUGGCCUUUCUGCUGCCAUCAGCAGCAGGGCUGUGCAUGUCUGUCUGAUCUAGCCUUCUACAAGGAAGAGACAUGAAUCUUUUCAGGAGACUGUGGAUUGGUGUCACUGCAGAAAACAGUUAAACACAUGGACAGAGCUUCUUUGAGGAACAUUUUAUUUCCAGUUAUGUACAUGAAAGAUGUUUUAUAAGAAAGUUGCUGUAGUCACAGCCUAGCAAACCAAACUUAUUAAUUAACUGCACUCUGCACCACUUGCACUUAGCUACGUGCCCUGGCUGACAACACAGCAUUCAGUGCUGGUUUGCAAACAAAUUUAAAUAUUCAGCGCACAGCUUCUGGGAAAGAGGCCAUCUUUCUUCAUGCUGUAGUUUUGGGAUGUAACAUUUAUUAGUGACUUAUGUUUAUUUCUACUGGCUUUGUGAUGCCAGGAGAGUUAGCAGCAUUUUGCAUCCUCUAAAUACAUGUAUAGGAAUGGGGAAGAGAAACAUGAGGGAUGUAGCAGGGGGAGGAAUGUGAAGAGAUGCCUGUGCGAUGAUGGUUGGCAGCACAGCUCUGCGGUCUAGAAAAACAAAUUCUGUUUUGUAGUAAACAUAAAGGUUUUAAAUUCUCUGUAUUGGAAUGGAAAUUAUCUCUACUGAAAAAGUUAAAAAAAUUAAUAAAAACAAAGUCCAUACCA